rnacentral:rRNA from 1 species
GAUGAACGCUAGCUACAGGCUUAACACAUGCAAGUCGAGGGGAAACGACAUCGAAAGCUUGCUUUUGAUGGGCGUCGACCGGCGCACGGGUGAGUAACGCGUAUCCAACCUGCCCAUCACUUGGGAAUAACCUUGCGAAAGUAAGACUAAUACCCAAUGACAUCCCACGAAGACAUCUGAAUGGGAUUAAAGAUUUAUCGGUGAUGGAUGGGGAUGCGUCUGAUUAGCUUGUUGGCGGGGUAACGGCCCACCAAGGCAACGAUCAGUAGGGGUUCUGAGAGGAAGGUCCCCCACAUUGGAACUGAGGCACGGUCCAAACUCCUACGGGAGGCAGCAGUGAGGAAUAUUGGUCAAUGGGCGAGAGCCUGAACCAGCCAAGUAGCGUGCAGGAGGACGGCCCUAUGGGUUGUAAACUGCUUUUAUAAGGGAAUAAAGUGGGUCUCGUGAGACUUUUUGCAUGUACCUUAUGAAUAAGGACCGGCUAAUUCCGUG